rnacentral:rRNA from 1 species
UACGUAGGGCGCAAGCGUUGUCCGGAAUUAUUGGGCGUAAAGAGCUCGUAGGCGGCUUGUCACGUCGGGUGUGAAAGCCCGGGGCUUAACCCCGGGUCUGCAUUCGAUACGGGCUAGCUAGAGUGUGGUAGGGGAGAUCGGAAUUCCUGGUGUAGCGGUGAAAUGCGCAGAUAUCAGGAGGAACACCGGUGGCGAAGGCGGAUCUCUGGGCCAUUACUGACGCUGAGGCACGAAAGCCAGGGGAGCAAGCGGG